UUCAUUUCUUGUGUUUCAGUUGCCAACUUUCCUCUCUGACGUCAUAAUUUCGCUGAUACUGGCCGCCAUUCUCUCUUUAGGCUUUGAAACUCCGGCAAUAAAUCUUGAGAAGAAUCUUCUGGGAAGAGGCAGGAAGACUAAACAAAAUAACACUGAAGAAGCGUCCCCACAGAAACAAGAAGGAAGUGACAAGGCAUACA